AAUUUCUUUCUUCCAACUCUGAAUAACAAAUCUGAAAACUCAAAAUAAAAACCUCAAAAACUCAACUCGUUCUCUCUUCUCAUAUCUUCAUCGCCGAACAGAGCUCAAUUCUCUCUCUCACUCUGAAAAAAUUAGGGCUUUGAAGCUUUGCACAGUACUGAUGGUGCUCUGCUUCAUCUCCGAUUCAAAUGACAAUCCCGACGAAUCCUUCCUGGAGAUUCUCCACAAUUGUUCAAUUCCUUGGGCAAUUGCAACACAUACCUCAGUUUCGGUGUUAGUUUCAGUUUAAUUUGCGGUUCCGAAUUGAAUUGAAGAUGCUCUAGUGGUUUCUGCGAUGGCGCCUAGCAAAACCGUUCAGGGCACCACUGCUCGCCACUAAUGGAAAGUCGACAAUCGAGGAUGAAGAAGACCUUAUCAACAAGCAUAAGCCUUCGAUCGUAUUCAAUUUUCGUUCACAAUUUUCAAUUCUCAAUAUUGUUCGCUUCGAUUUAGUUUACCUAUCCUAAUACUCAUGGUCUCAAUCUCGAUUGCUCUCGGUGUUUAAUUUCUGAUGAAUUUGCUUCAUAUUACUUUGAAAAUUUCCAGAAUCUAUGAGUAUUGCUUCACUCAGUUAACCUAAUUUCGAUUUUGUGCGCUGAUGUACAUUUAGAUGUAAUUUUUGUGUGAAUUUCACUAUCAGCAAAUGAGGAAAUAUACUAUGUAAUCGGAAUUCAAUUUUUGCAGCAUUUAUAUUGAUAUGCUUAGGACGUAGGGAUCGACACCUACAAUGGCUUGAUGAUGCAUAUGUGAAACUGUUGAGAAGAUAGUGGUCAGUGGUAGACUAUUGCAUGAUUUUCAAGUAUAUUGCAAUCUUCAAGUUGAAUUAGGGUUUUGAGUUGUUUUAGAGUUUUAAUUAUUCAUUUGCAACGAUGGACUUGAAUAUAGCUGAGGUUAUGUGAAGCUGGACUGAUCACAGUACAAAGUUAAUGGGGCUUGUGGUGUUUAGAAUUGGGUAUAUUGGCCUUAUAUAUUAUCACUAUAUGAAGCUUAGAAUUUGUUUUAUUCGGAAUCAUGUUAAAGAAAAUAAUCAGAUAUGGACCUUAACCUUUUCUUGUUGUGUGGUUUCAGAUAAAGUGAGAUUAGGAAUGAUGCAUAUAUAGUGAAAAUAUAGUAUCAUCAGUCCAUGUAAUUUUGUCUGCAUGUGGUAAUGGCCUCACUCUUGUUUAUACUAUGCACCAGUUCUUGUUUUCAUUAAGGUAGAAUUGUUAAAUGUGUUUUUAUAUGCUUGUUUCAUUAAGAUGUAAAUAUGUUGUAUUUAAUAGAUUGAAUUUAUUUGUCCAUAUGCAGUUCCUUGCAUGAGGAUAACUCUUAAAUGUCUUGCUUGUAAGAAUGGAGACAUUGAUGAAGCAUGUUCAUUUCUCUGGUCAAGAGGGGAGGACUGAAAUUAAGAAAAUUGCUGCAAGGUUUAAGGAGAAGGUGUAUUGUGCUGGCAAAAGUCAGCAUAGUUGUAUAUAAUGGACAUGGGAUGGAAGAGUUUGUACUGAAGAUGACAUCAGCUUAUAUUAGUCAGCAUGAUCUCCACAUAGGGGAUAUGACAGUGAGAGCAAAGGAGUUGCUGACUUUCUUCAAGAAGUGACAUCACCAUUUCUGAGUAUCCGAAAAAGCAAGAAAUAUUUGCUCGGAUAUCUGGAUAUUGUGUGCAAACCGAUAUACACUCUCCUCAUGUUACAAUAUACGAGUCUUUGGUGUAUUCCACAUGACUCCAGUUGCCCCUUGAUGUUCACUCUGCAACUAGAAAGAAGUUAUGGAGCUUGUGGAACUGACAUCGAUAAGGGAGUCACUUGUGGGAUUUCCAGGAGUGAAUGGUUUCUCUACUAAGCAGCGAAAAAGGCUAACUAUUGUUGUAGAACUUGUUGCCAACCCUUCCAUAAUACUUAUGGAUGAGCCAACCUCUGGCCUUAAUGCCAAGGCAGCAUCUAUUGUAAUAAGAACAGUGAGAAAUACAGUGGACACAGGGCGAACUAUAGUCAACACAAUCCACCAGCCAAGCAUCGACAUUUUUAUGCUUUCAAUGAGGGACAACAAAGAUAAACAACCUGAGUAUAAACAUUGGCUCUUUGAAGGUGGAAACUUGGAGAAAAGGGGACUUCAAAAGAAGUCACUGAUGAUGUACCACUAGACCAAGUCGAUCGUCGGGGGUAAAACUUAUAUUUUAGGUUCAUUACUUUGGAAUGUAGAUUCAUAUAGAUCGCUUAGGACCAAAUAUUUAGGUAUGUAUCCUUACAUUUAAAAGGAUUAAUUCAUUGGAGUGGAAUAUUAACUUUCAAGAAAGUUUCCAUU